AAUAGAUGUGAUUUUUACGAUAAAAUAUAUUUUUCAAAAUAUUUGUUUUAUGGUACCCUUGAUCAGACCAAGGAUUGGUGAGCACUUCCUCGUGAUAUCACAUGACCGUUGAAAAUAUUGGUCAACAUGGCGAAAACUAUUGACAUGAGUUCUUUCAACGGACCAUUAAAUGAUGUUGCUGCAAGAAAGAUAAAUCAGCUUGCAGUUACAAGAGACUACAUCUCACAACCUAGGAUAAGUAAGAAUGUCAUUCAAAACAACCCACUUAUUACUAUUUGUUUUCUGGCUUCAACAUGUAACCG
rnacentral:lncRNA from 1 species